CCUACGGGAGGCAGCAGUGGGGAAUUUUGGACAAUGGGCGCAAGCCUGAUCCAGCAAUGCCGCGUGAGUGAAGAAGGCCUUCGGGUUGUAAAGCUCUUUUGUCAGGGAAGAAACGGUCUACUCUAAUACAGUGGGCUAAUGACGGUACCUGAAGAAUAAGCACCGGCUAACUACGUGCCAGCAGCCGCGGUAAUACGUAGGGUGCAAGCGUUAAUCGGAAUUACUGGGCGUAAAGCGUGCGCAGGCGGUUAUAUAAGUCAGAUGUGAAAUCCCCGGGCUCAACCUGGGAACUGCAUUUGAGACUGUAUGGCUAGAGUGUGUCAGAGGGGGGUAGAAUUCCACGUGUAGCAGUGAAAUGCGUAGAUAUGUGGAGGAAUACCGAUGGCGAAGGCAGCCCCCUGGGAUAACACUGACGCUCAUGCACGAAAGCGUGGGGAGCAAACAGGAUUAGAUACCCUGGUAGUCCACGCCCUAAACGAUGUCUACUAGUUGUCGGGACUUAAUUGUCUUGGUAACGCAGCUAACGCGUGAAGUGACCGCCUGGGGAGUACGGUCGCAAGAUUAAAACCGANAAAGUGAAGUUCGACGGUCGUAGGAGACGUUACGACGACGGACGACGACGGAGGGAGGAGG
rnacentral:rRNA from 1 species